rnacentral:lncRNA from 1 species
UCUUGCUUUUGAAAAAAAAAAUACAAUAAACUAUCUAUUUUACUAGUCCUAAUAUCAAAGUCCAGUUAGUUUCAUUAAUCAAUUUCCAACCUAAGAAGACAAUAAGAAGUCCAAAAUUCAAAUGAUUAAUGUGGAGAGUAAAAAGCUAACACUAUAUCCCUUUUUAUCAUUUCCCUCUUUUUCAUCAUUUAACCCACGAAUAAUAGUCAAAUAAAGAACAGAAAAAACACUAUCGUCAGUCUUUGUAACUUACUCUAUAACAGUACAAUCUAAAAAAAAGGUUAAAACCUAACCUUAAGGGUCCCCCACCACCCCUAUCCUGGAGCAUCAUGAGGGAGGUAAAUCUCAGGUUAUGCCUCCAAGGGUACAGGGUGGAAGGCUGCUUGUACACUUGCACUUACCCAAGAGUCAAAUCCAUAUUUCAGGAUUCGAACCCUUGACGCAGCAGCCUCAAGCAAAGCUGGAUUUCUCCACCCUCCCCUUUUACCACUUGGAGAUGUGCCCUGGGGGAUCUAUAACAGUACAAUCUAUUUAUUGGAGCCGGUUGUCCAUUUGUUAAUUGAUAUUUCAUGAUAUAUUUUUUUCUUUUUCUUUUAGAAGGGUAAGUUUUUGUUUUAUGAAAAAUGAUAGGUGAUUAUAUUCAAUUUUUGUGAAUUCUUUUACCAAAAGAAACAAAAAUAGCUUUGAUAUUUUGAUUUAUUUGAGAAG